GCUUACGGACAUACCACCCUGAACACGCCCGAUCUCGUCUGAUCUCGGAAGCUAAGCAGGGUCGGGUCUGGUUAGUACUUGGAUAGGAGACCGCCUGGGAAUACCAGUUGCUGUAAGCU
ensembl:rRNA 5S_rRNA 5S ribosomal RNA